rnacentral:rRNA from 1 species
CCUACGGGAGGCUGCAGUGAGGAAUAUUGGUCAAUGGGCUUACACCUGAACCAGCCAAGCCGCGUGAGGGAAGAUUGCCCUAUGGGGUGUAAAUCUCUUUUGUCAGGGAGCAACGUCGGCUACGUGUAGCCGGACUGAGAGUACCUGAAGUAAAAGCAUCGUCUAACUCCGUGCCAGCAGCCGCGGUAAUACGGAGGAUGCGAGCGUUAUGCGGAUUUAUUGGGUUUAAAGGGUGCGUAGGCGGAAUGCCAAGUCAGCGGUAAAAUCGCGGAGCUCAACCUCGCUCUGCCGUUGAAACUGGCGUUCUUGAGUGGGCGAGAAGUAUGCGGAAUGCGUGGUGUAGCGGUGAAAUGCAUAGAUAUCACGCAGAACUCCGAUUGCGAAGGCAGCAUACCGGCGCCCAACUGACGCUGAAGCACGAAAGCGUGGGUAUCGAACAGGAUUAGAUACCCGUGUAGUC